ACUUUCAACAACGGAUCUCUUGGUUCUGGCAUCGAUGAAGAACGCAGCGAAAUGCGAUAAGUAAUGUGAAUUGCAGAAUUCAGUGAACCAUCGAAUCUUUGAACGCACAUUGCGCCCGCCAGCACUCUGGCGGGCAUGCCUGUCCGAGCGUCA
rnacentral:rRNA from 1 species